rnacentral:misc_RNA from 1 species
CACCGACGGUUCGAGUAAAACAUCCUUGAUCCUUUCACUCUUCCGCUGAGAUAGUUCUUACGUAAAGGUAAUAUGCAUGCUGUAUGAACUCUCAAAUAUAAACAAUGAAUUUAGUGCUGCUAUUAGUGUUUUCCUCGAUAGUUUUUAAAGUGAUUCUAAGUGAUGAAGUGCCGAAAUGUUGUGCUACACACGAAAUUUUAUCCAAAAAUGGAAUUACUUUUAAUUGUGUUCCUGAUUUGACCAGAAGACUGCAAAUAAAUACUAAGAAUACUAAUCACUUAGAAACUAACCCUAGAGAUACAUGUUACGAUGUAUUUGAAGAUAACUUUGUAGAACUUAAAGAGAACAAAGUGGAAAGAGUAACAGGUAGAUUUUUUCCAAAAUGUUGUCCCUUAGAUACUGUUUACAAUACCAAACUACAUUCCUGUGUAAAAAAGACAGUUUCCAAUAACAUUUUUAUUAACGAAACCUUUAUAAAAGUUGGCUUGGCAAAUUGCAAAAUUGUCGCUGAUUUCGAUUUGGAAAAAGACGCAGACUUUGAGUAUAAAUUAUUAGAUAGCCAUAAAAAAAUAAGAAGGACUUCAUUGCAGGAUUAUAGCUCAUUUUGUGUUGAUAAAACUGAGAGUGAUUCGUUCGUGAUAAGGGAAUGUCAAGACGGUUUUGAUAGCUGUGAUAACUUUAGAUGUAUUAAGAAAUGUUGUCCUGAUGGACAGAGCUUUGUAAAUGGUUCUAAGUGUCAAGACACUUAUGAACAUGGAAUCAAUCUGACUGUUUUGAGCAAAUUUGUGAAGAAUCAUGAGGGUGACUUCGCCAUUAUCCACAACCGAACUUGUUCCAAGAUCCACCUUGUGAAAGAGGACUAUAAUGCCACUGUAAAUGAUGAUGGCAGCUUCACCGAAUGGCUUCCAAGUGGUUAUCGUAUAGAGAGUGUUGCAGAACAGGUCUCAUAUUGCAUAGAGCACACCCAAAAAAAGAAUAUGAAUGGUUAUUUCAUGUUCCACUGUUUUCCUGAGAAACCCACGGGCCUUACCAAAUUCGAUUAUCGAUUAUGGCCUUUUAUAACGUCGUGUGUUUUCUUGGUGUUAACAGUUGUUGUUUAUAUUAUCAUCAAGGAGUGGAAAAAGAUGUUUGGAAAAAUAUUAGUGAGCUACUGUAUUGCUUCCUUCUUCGUUUAUGUCAUAUUGACGUUGGGACAACUGAAUACGGAACCGACUUUUACUGAUUGUCAACUAAGAGCCUUCUUACUGAUCUUUUUUGCAAUUGCUCAAUUUUCUUGGGCUAAUGUAAUGAGUUUUGAGAUAUGGUGUACGUUUGGUACCACAAAAAUAUAUUUAGGAACCAAUUAUCGAGAAGCAGAAUUGCGAAAAUUUAUGUUGUACAGCUUAUAUGGAUGGGGAACUCCACUAAUACUUACUCUCGUUACGCUGUUAUUCUCCAAAUGGACGGUUCUACCUUACGCUGUCCAGCCAUACAUAGGAGAAGUCAAGUGCUUCUUUGACAGUAAACAAGGAAAUUACGCAAAAUUCCUCUUCUUGAAUAUACCCCUGCUCAUAAUCCAAAUAGUAAAUAUGAUUUUCUUCGUCAAGACUAUUAUUUAUUGUGUAAGAGUGCGCAAUGAAAUUAACAAAAUUAAUGACGCACGAAUAACUCAUUCCAAAAAGAAGUAUAACCAUGACAGAGAAAGGUAUAAUUGGUUGUUCCUGAUUCUUAAGCUAUCGAUUGUUAUGGGAAUAUCUUAUAUCUUCGAAGUUGUGACUGCAUUCUUUAACAUGAGCGAACUGGGAACUGUACCAAAAUAUAUUGAAAUCAUAUUUGACACUUUUAAUGCUUUACAAGGUGUAUUUAUCUUCAUUAUAUUUAUUUGCAAGAAGAAAAUCCUUCUGAACUUAGCUCAGAAAUGUACGAUAUUUGGUAUACACUAUUCGCCGAAUACUUCAUCGGUUCGCACACAUUCCUCUUUGACGCUAAAUGGAGUUGCAAUGACAACCUUAGGAAAUCAGAAUAACAACCAAAAACUAGUUUAAGAUUUUAUUUUUUUGUAAUUUUGUAAUGAAAGGGACAUGUUAUUAUACAGGGUGCUUGGAAAAGAAUGGGCCAUAGCUUAAUAGCCGUUUUAAGCUAACUUACCUUAGUACAAAAGUUGAUAAUAACCGAAAUACAGGGUGUCAAAAUUAAACUUUAAUUUUAUUUAUUUUUGAAUAUUUCUCACAGGCAUGGGACAAUAACACAAAAUUUGGUAAGUGGUGCUGGUAUUGUACAAUCUACUAAAUUAUGUUAAACAAACGUUUCUGGCUACUACCAGAGGCGUACAACGGGGGAACGUGAAUGGUUGACCCUUCCCAAAUUCUACACCACUGGUGAAACUACUAUUUUAGUGCCAUUUCUUGAUUCUACAAUACUUUCUAUGUAAAAAACAUAUCUACUCUUCAUCCUUAAUAAUAAAGCCAUUAGUUUUCGAGAUAUUUGAAGCUAAAAAUGAAGGAGCAUAAUACAUUAAUCAAAAUAAGUGUGCCUUUUCAUUUUUAACUACAAAUAUCUCGAAAACUAAUGACUUUAUCGUUACGAAUGAAGAGUAUUUUAUUUGCAUAGAAAGUAUUGGAAAAUCUAAAAAAUAUGCUAAAAUGGCAGUUUUAUCAGUGGCGUAGAAUUUGGGAAGGGUCAACCAUUCACUUUCCCCUGUCGUACGCCUCUUGUAGUAGCCAGAAACGAUUAUUUAACAUAAUUUAGUAGGGUGUACCGUGCCUACACUUUCUGCCAAGUAUCACACGGAUAUGUCAAAUUAUUUUACAGUAUUAAAUUUUUUUAAAUAAUUUAUUCCUUAUUUAAAACUUUAAGAACUUUGUGUGCCCGUUACUAUAAAACUGAUUGACAUAUCCUUAUGGUUAAGUAUUUUCUAUUGGAAAUAAGCCACAAUUUUACUAAAAAAUGAAUUUAUUAACGUUUCGAAGCCCAAAUCGGGUUUCGUUGUCAAAAUAUAAAAUUCAUUUUUUAGUAAAAUUGUGGCUUAUUUCCCAUAGAAAAUACUUAAUUAUAAAAAUGCCACAAGGAAAUAGCUUCAGAACAACAUUAAAAUAUCCUUAUGGUACUUAGCAGAAAGUGUAGGUACUGUACACCCUACUAAAUUAUAUUAAAUAAUCGUUUGUGGUUAAUACCAGAGGCGUUCGACAGGGGAUAGUAAAUGGUUGACCCUUCCCAAAUUUUUACGCCACUGAUGAAACUGCUAUUUUAGCAUAAUUUUUAGAUUCUCCAAUACUUUCUAUGCAAAUAAUAUAGUAUUCAUUUGUAAGGAUAAAGUCAUUGGUUUUCGAGAUAUUUGAAGUUAAAAAUGAAAGGGCACACUUAUUUUGAUUAAUGUAUUAUGUCCCUUCGUUUUUAGCUUCCAAUAUCUCGAAAACUAAUGGCUUUAUCGCUACGAAUGAAGAGUAUGUUUUCUAUAUAGGAAGUAUUGGAUAAUCAAAAAAUUGCACUAAAAUAGCAAUUUCUCCAGUGGCGUAGAAUUUGGGAAGGGUCAACCAUUCAUGUUCCCCCGUCGUACGCCUCUGGUAGUAGCCAAAAACGUUUGUUCAUAAUUUAGUAGAAUGUACAAUACCAGCACUACUUACCAAAUUUCGUGUUGUUGUCCCAUGCCUGUCAGGAAAUAUUCAAAAAUAAAUAAAAUAAAAGUUUAACUUUGACACCCUGUAUUUAGGUUAUUAUCAACUUUUGUACUAAGGUAAGUUAGCUUAAAUCGACCUAUUUUAAACUCAGGAAUCUAAGGUUAAGCUAUGGCCCAUUCUUUACCAAACACCCUGUAUACUAAUACUACUAUCGGUUUACAGCGCAGCGUUCUCCGACGCCUUCUGACUCCUAACCGCUAUUCUUCUCUGUUUAACCAUAGACCAGGAGGAAUUUCUAUUUCCUCUAGUUCUUUUACAAAUCACUCUCUCCAGAUUCUUCUCGACCAUUCUCUUUUCCUUCUCCCUUGCGUUGUCCACGCCAAAAUCUGUUUAAGGAUUCUGUCAUAAUAUGGCAUUCUCUGUACAUGGCCGUAGCCUAUUAGUUGUUUUGUUUUUAUAUCAUCAAUUAUUUUAUGUGUGACUCCCAUCAUUUCUCGUAUUCUCUCAUUUGGUAUCCGAUCUCUUCUUGAUUUGCCUGCUGUUCUUCUUCAGAAGUCCAUUUCUGUUACUAGUUUUCUCUGUUCUUUGUUCCAGUGGCCAAACUUCACUGGCAUAUGUGAUUACACUUUUAAGUAUGUAUGCUAUUGUAUAUGAGCUGUUUGUUCACUUUAGAUAUUGUCUGGUCCCACAGAAUGCCGUUCAUCAUGGAUAUGGCUUUUCUACCCUGUAU